GAUGAACGCUGGCGGUGUGCCUAAUACAUGCAAGUCGAGCGAAUGGAUUGAGAGCUUGCUCUCAAGAAGUUAGCGGCGGACGGGUGAGUAACACGUGGGCAACCUGCCCAUAAGACUGGGAUAACUCCGGGAAACCGGGGCUAAUACCGGAUAACAUUUUGAACCGCAUGGUUCGAAAUUGAAAGGCGGCUUCGGCUGUCACUUAUGGAUGGACCCGCGUCGCAUUAGCUAGUUGGUGAGGUAACGGCUCACCAAGGCAACGAUGCGUAGCCGACCUGAGAGGGUGAUCGGCCACACUGGGACUGAGACACGGCCAAGACUCCUACGGGAGGCAGCAGUAGGGAAUCUUCCGCAAUGGACGAAAGUCUGACGGAGCAACGCCGCGUGAGUGAUGAAGGCUUUCGGGUCGUAAAACUCUGUUGUUAGGGAAGAACAAGUGCUAGUUGAAUAAGCUGGCACCUUGACGGUACCUAACCAGAAAGCCACGGCUAACUACGUGCCAGCCGCCGCUGUAAAAC
rnacentral:rRNA from 1 species